AACGCACCUUGCGCUCUCUGGUAUUCCGGGGAGCAUGCCUGUUUGAGAAUCGCAAAGCAACACAAAUCACAUUCAUUUUUUUGGGUGUGGAGUUGGGCCGAAUUCCUCUUUCAUUUUUCGAAGGAGGAUGGCUUGAAAUCUAGAAGGCCGGCUUGGGUAAAACCAAGCGGAUCAGGACCGAAUUUUACUCCCAGAGCAAAUAAUAGUUAAUGCGUUUUUGCGCGUUAUCCCUUUUUGCCCCCGGGGUUGGCCCUGAACUUUUUAGGCCUCACACUUUCUCUCGGCCUAGCUUGAGAGGGAGGGACUAGAGUAUUUUGACGAGGCCUUCCUUGACCGGAGGCCUCUGACCUCUUAGAUCUCAAAUCAGGCAAGACUACCCGCUGAACUUAA
rnacentral:misc_RNA from 1 species